rnacentral:rRNA from 1 species
GCCCGCAAGGCUAAAACUCAAAGGAAUUGACGGGACCCGCACAAGCGGUGGAACAUGUGGUUUAAUUCGAUGCUACGCGAAGAACCUCACCAAGGCUUGACUUGCUCGUCAUAUCCCCCUCAAAGGGGGGAGUCAUUUAGUUGGACGAUGCACAGGUGCUGCAUGGCUGUCGUCAGCUCGUGUCGUGAGAUGUUGGGUUAAGUCCCGCAACGAGCGCAACCAUUGCUCCUUGUUGCCACCUUGUCCCAUCGAAAGAUGGGGUGAGAGCACUCUAGGAGGACUGCCUGGGAUAACCAGGAGGAAGGUGGAGAUGACGUCAAGUCAGUACGGCCUUUAUGCCUUGGGCUACACACGUGUUACAAUGGUCGAUACAAAGAGUUGCCAACCUGCGAGGGGGAGCUAAUCUCUAAAAAUCGGCCCCAGUUCAGAUUGAAGUCUGCAAUUCGACUUCAUGAAGCCGGAAUCGCUAGUAAUGGGAGAUCAGCACGCUUCCAUGAAUACGUUCCCGGGCCUUGUACACACCGCCCGUCAAGCGAUGGGAGCCGGGGGUACCCGAAGUCCUGUGUAGGCAGGCCGAAGGUAAAACUGGUGACUGGCGCU